UAAUUUUAUGUCUAAUUACCAGGACAGUUAGAGAUUAAGAUAGUCGACAUAUAUAGGGAUUAAAAUGGUUUUCAUCCCAGAGUUUAACAUUUUGUGUUAUUGUUUUAUUAACCUCUUAUAAUUUUUUCUCAUGGCUGUUGCUUGAGGGUGCUAGGCAUUUUUACAUUACCAAGCAUCUUAAUGUGAAAUGAUUAUUGUCUGGAUUUCUUUUUAGGAAUUUUUUCUUCCUAAAUCAUCAUCCUUCCAGCUUCUCUCAGCACAACUCUGGUGUAAAAUGUUACAGUCUAAACAUAUUAAGUUUGGUUCAUUUCUCCAGGAAAAAAAAACAAACCUCUCUUCAGAUGAUGCUUCAAAAAUUCGUUUGUGAUUUUCUUCAGAAAAUAGCUGAAGUGGAUUCUGCAUAUUUUAUUGUUAAACACUAUAAAGGCAUAUUCCCCCAACACAGUAUUUCAGAUGUAUUGCAGAGCAAAAGAGCAUCCUCUGUUGAAUUAACCUAGGUCUCUACACUUCCUGGAGCUGGCCAGAAAUGGAAAAAGAAAACAUGGUUAAUUUCAUGAAAGUCUGUUCUCGCAAGAUUUCUAGGGCAAGUCAGCAAACUGAAGGUAUU